rnacentral:tRNA from 1 species
GGGUCGUUAGCUCAGUCGGUAGAGCACCGGCCUUUUAAGCCGGGAGUCGCGGGUUCGAUUCCUGCACGACCCA